rnacentral:misc_RNA from 1 species
UCCGUUGAAGCAGCCGCGCCGCCUUCACCCACGAUGCCUCUCCUCUCCCCUUUCAUCUCAAGCAGAGCGACACCCUCAUCGUCUAGGCAGCAGCAGCAAGGAACGCGAACAUAUCCUUUUGGCCCUCUCCUUAGCUGCCGUGCGCUUCCAGUGCCGCUUACACCGGAGGCGGGAACACUCGCAACGAACGAACAACCUCCCACCUCCUCCAAAAACUAAAAGAAAAGCAAAGCAAGACGCCACCAGGUCCUCUCAACCGCAGCACACAGCACUUUCCUAUUCGUGCCCCACCCUCACGGCCCUCUCCUCUCUCCUCUGUUUGCUGCUGCGACCUUUGCUCUCUGCGACUGUGCAAGUGGAAGGAGACAACGCGGGCAUGUCGUGUGUCUGUGUCCAGGUGCGUGUGCAAGCGUAUAUGGCCCCAAUCAGGGCCUUUUUCCAGGAAAGGAGGAGGCCGUCUCUUCCAUUUCCAGUGUAUAUGUUUUUUCUAUUUUCUUUUUUUUUCCGAGUGCUCAUUCUCUUCUGCAUGUGACCCCACCAACACCCUCCCACCCUCCUUCUUUAGGGUAUUUCCUCUUGGACUCUCUCUCUCACUCGUGUUUUGCUUUUAUCUUUCUGCCACUUAGGUUUUGGAGUGUAACUUGCCCUGCAUUUUCCUGCCCGUCAGGGGGAGGGCGUAUCAGUGCGCACUCCUUUGCUUUAUUUGGGUGUCGGUGUGCCGCCUCGACGCUUCCCUCAUUCUUUCCGCCUUUUUUCUUUUCUUCCUUUCUUCGUUGUCUUCUUCGCGGAUAGACUUGUUUCUCUUCUUGUCAGCACACGUCUUGAGUCACCCUCCCCCCUCCUCCUCACCCUUCCCUCUGCCCCCCUCCGCCCCGCCGAGCUGCUUUGGUUUUCUUCAGCUGUCACCAGCGUGUCUUUCCCUAUCAUGCAGCUCUCUCUCUCGCUCUCUUCACGUUGCGCUGCUGCCCUCUUGCAACCGGCCAUUUUUCCUUUUCAUUUUGAACUGCCCUCUUUCUGUCGUCGAUCCAACCCCCUUGCCUUUUCACUUGCCUGUGGGUUUUGGUGGGGCGCAUGGAGUGUGAGUGUCUUCGAUUGCUAUGAUUCUCAUUAUUGUGGUGCUGAGGCGUCCGCGUGCGUGUCGCUCCUAGUGGGCCUUUAUUUCCGCUUCUCUCUUCCUCCCCCCUGAAGAUGGAGCACGCAUCAACGCGUGAUAUCACAUAGAUCGACACCCACCCCUCUCUCUACACACACACACACUGUUUGUGUGGGGAGGCCAUGCAACAGCCCCUCUAUCCCCUGGCAAAUGCGGAACCACCUCUGCUGGUGACAGUGUCAAGCACCCUACGACGUAGGGGUAGUUCAGCGCGACCUAUCGCUGCUGAUGUCGGCGGUUAGGCCCUGGAUGGCGUCGCGUCGGAGGAACCUGCGACAUUGGACACGCUUGCGCCAUCCACAUGAUGGAGCAGGGUGUCCGCGUGACUCGAGUGUCUCCCACCCGGCCUCUCACUGCCAGUUGGUGGGUGCGCCUGCGUGCCACUCCGAGAGGGGGCGCCCGGCGGCGACUGGCGAAGCGGGUGGGUGGGGCAGAGCUGGAUGCAGGGGCCGUGCUCUCAGAAGAUGACUGGGUCGGCGCACUGCUGUAAUGCGCGUGUAUCUGCCGCUUACUCGCACCACGCGGACGGGCCCUACGACAGGCCAAAUGGAGUGGCGUGUAGCGAAUUUUGCAUGGUCGUAUGGUCACGUAAAAACAAAACGAAAGCUGUUCCGUUUCCACGGAGCAUACCUCCUCCCUCCUUCGCUCUCCUCAUCCUCCUCCUUCAUUGGCGUUGGCAAAUGUGUGGGUUUGCCCCUGCUGGCUUAGCCUCUCUGACUUUUCUCUCUCGCAUCGCUCAGCAUCAUGGCACGCGUAGGCUUGCGCGCACACGCACCAAAAGAAAAAGACUUGCAGUUCGUCGGUGCACUCAGCGAAGCUCGCAGGGAGCGAACUGAACAAGCCUCUGUCGGAAUCGCACGAGUCGGGGUCAGCAGUCCUGAAGGGAGCGGAGGGGGGAGGGGUCAACGAAAGAAGCCUGCAACCAGUCAGAAGAGUUAUGACGAAGACCGCCACGACAGACGGCUUUGGGUUGCUGCUGCCCCCACCCCUCCCCCUCCCUUCCUUCUUUGUAUCUCUGCUUCCCUCAUGGCGCUCUCUAUUCUCGUUCUCCACUCACUGUUUCUGGUUCUAUCCGUUUGCGUCACCGUGUGAUGUGAGGUGGUCUCGGCGUGUACUACCCCUCUCCCGCGUGUUACAUCCUAG